UACGUAGGUGGCAAGCGUUGUCCGGAUUUACUGGGCGUAAAGGGCGUGCAGGCGGUCUGUUAAGUUCAGGGUGAAAGCUCCCGGCUCAACUGGGAGAGGUCCUUGGAUACUGGCAGACUCGAGGGAGGUAGAGGAGAGUGGAAUUCCCGGUGUAGUGGUGAUAUGCGUAGAUAUCAGGAGGAACACCGGUGGCGAAGGCGGUUCUCUGGGCAUGUUCUGACGCUGAGGAGCGAAAGUGUGGGGAGCGAACAGG
rnacentral:rRNA from 1 species